GGAGGAGACUAAAGACUCCAGGCAGAAAAUAAACAGGAGAAAAAGUGUAAACUCACCUUUGGUUUUUGGUCAGCUUAGACAAUUACACAUGGGGCUGGAUAGAUGCUGCUCUGAGUCAGUUUCCUUCUGUCUUUAUUAAGAUGAAGCAAACAGUUCAGCUGAAGCAGAACUUGAGCCAGAAGGAGGCAACCAUGUCAAGCAACUGAGGAAGAAAAAUGUGGAAGUAACAGAUCCCAAUAAUGUUCACUAUUCGGCAGAGAACAACACUGUUCAAUAUUCCUCUAAGGAAGGGGAAAUGUUGCAGUUUGGGUUACAGCUCUUCAUCGGAAAAUGCAAGGUGUUAACCAUCAAACUAUAUACCAUAUGUUUCUAUACAAACUCAGUUUUUCUAAGUUUUGUCUUUGACAUGAUACCGCUGACUUUUAUCUGCAGGUGAGCAUUUCUCUUGAAUCAAGUUUAAGGUCAGUAGACCCCAAGGUGUGAGCUGUAACAGUGGUAUCUCCUGCUUAUUUAUAUAAUGAUUGAUAGCAUUUCCCCCCAAUCCUUUUCUUUAGUUUGUAUGUCCAUAUGUUGCAAUAAUAAAACAUCUUACCUUGCUAACUGACCUUGCUAAGUUAAAAGAUGGAGAGAGGGUCAGGCUAGUUCUAGACCUCAUGCUGAUGUUUAACUACAUUGACCAGGAAAAAGACACGCUUAUGGGCAGAAAUCCACAGGCAUAGAAUUUAGAUGCUGCUGCCAUGCUGUAAAGUUGCCCAGGAACCACUACAAAAAUCACCUGCAACAUUUGCUAAAGUUGCUUGAGGAGAGCUCCCUUGCGGGGCUUAUUUGAUUUCAGCAGCCAAACUGGAAUCCUAAAUCAGUUUCAACAGCUGAUUUCAAUUCCCAAAUAAUCUUAUUAUCUUGCAACAUUUCACAAAGUGUAAUCUACCUUGUAAGCCUCAAAAUUAAAUGUAAGACAAGUAACUCAGCAGUGUAUCUUUAUUUCUGCUACCCUGAUGCUCCUGUGCCUUCUAAAGAAAGAGGAACUUUCGGGAAGAAAGUAAACCAAACAUCAUAAGUAAACAAAAAAAACCCAAAAAAUCCAGCAGCCCCACAUGAAAAAAGAGGAGUCAUCUACACCAUACAGUUUAAGGACUGUAACAGUCACAACGAAGGACAAACAGGCAGAAGCCUAGCAGAGCACAUCCAUGAACAUCAACUAGCAGUCA